rnacentral:rRNA from 1 species
UAGGGAAUCUUCGGCAAUGGACGAAAGUCUGACCGAGCAACGCCGCGUGAGUGAAGAAGGUUUUCGGAUCGUAAAACUCUGUUGUUAGAGAAGAACAAGGACGUUAGUAACUGAACGUCCCCUGACGGUAUCUAACCAGAAAGCCACGGCUAACUACGUGCCAGCAGCCGCGGUAAUACGUAGGUGGCAAGCGUUGUCCGGAUUUAUUGGGCGUAAAGCGAGCGCAGGCGGUUUCUUAAGUCUGAUGUGAAAGCCCCCGGCUCAACCGGGGAGGGUCAUUGGAAACUGGGAGACUUGAGUGCAGAAGAGGAGAGUGGAAUUCCAUGUGUAGCGGUGAAAUGCGUAGAUAUAUGGAGGAACACCAGUGGCGAAGGCGGCUCUCUGGUCUGUAACUGACGCUGAGGCUCGAAAGCGUGGGGAUCAAACAGG